rnacentral:rRNA from 1 species
CCUACGGGAGGCAGCAGUAGGGAAUCUUCCACAAUGGGCGAAAGCCUGAUGGAGCAACGCCGCGUGAGUGAUGAAGGCCUUCGGGUUGUAAAACUCUGUCAUUCGGGACGAACCGGAGUCUGAGGAAAUGCAGACUCUCUGACGGUACCGGAGGAGGAAGCCCCGGCUAACUACGUGCCAGCAGCCGCGGUAAUACGUAGGGGGCAAGCGUUGUCCGGAUUCACUGGGCGUAAAGCGCGCGCAGGCGGUGAUGUAAGUCUGAGGUGAAAACCCGAAGCUCAACUUCGGGACUGCCUUGGAUACUGCGUCACUUGAGGAUAGGAGAGGCAAGGGGAAUUCCACGUGUAGCGGUGAAAUGCGUAGAGAUGUGGAGGAACACCUGUGGCGAAGGCGCCUUGCUGGCCUAUUUCUGACGCUGAGGCGCGAAAGCGUGGGGAGCAAACAGGAUUAGAUACCCUGGUAGUCCACGCUGUAAACGAUGAGUGCUAGGUGUAGGUGGGCUCAUACCCAUCUGUGCCGAAGCUAACGCAUUAAGCACNCCGCCGUGGGGAGUACGGUCGCGAGCUGAAACGUUAAGGAAUUGACGG